GGGACAAUAAAAAACAAAAGUUUAGACUCUAUGAACACGAGUCUCGUCUCGACGACUCCUUUGUCUCCUAUCAAUCCACUUAGGCAAGGUUGCCUCCAUUCCCUGCAACAUGGUAUUUGUAACAACCUGUAAAUUUAUAGAUUAUUAUUGCAGAUUUUUCCCUCUAGUUUAUUAUUUAAAACAUUUAGUUGGAUGCCAUUAUACAUAGUUUAAGAUUUAAAAACAUAAUUUUUAUAAAACAUAAAGUGUGGAAACAAUAAAUCCUCAGAAAAACCAUGUGCAAUACGCCUGCCGUACGACACUGCUCGUCAAUGUGCAAGUAAAUAAAAAAGGAUAUAAGUUUUCCAUUCAAAACUCAGCAUGGAUGCCUCUAACCUAACGAAUUAAAUAUCUCAUUAUUUUUUUAAACCCGUGUCUCUCUUUUAGUAUUCAGGUGAACAUAUCCAUCCGGACACUUAGGGUUCCAAACCCUCUCUUGGGAAUGACUUUCACCAUUCCCCAGACUCAAUCAUGUGCGGAACACAAUCUCAACCAGACUUGAAUCAACUCGGUGAGUGAUCCGACCAAAAUGCCCCGUUGGGCUAUUCGCCUCGUCAGGCUCAGACUCGAGUUCCCCCAAGGGUUCGCCCAUUCCAACUACCCGAAGGGUAUUCAUAAUUAUGCAUAUUAAACUGAGAUCCCCUAUAUGGGUUCACCUGACCAGACUCCCCCGUCGGGGCACAAUCAUUCAAACUUUUUGAAGGGUACAAUAACACAAACUCCCCGAAUGUGACAAUAACUCAAACUCCCCAAAGGGCAGAAUAACUCAGACUCUUCGAAUGACACAAUAACUUAUCAACUCCCCAAUGGGCACAAUAGCAUAGACUUCAACGGGUAUAUAUAUUCCAACAUAUCUAUUCAGUUCGAUUCUUUACUUUUUGUCAAACAUUUUGGAUUAUGAAUACCUGAUGAUAUCACUUAAACUACGCCAAUGUUAGGAUUUAGAAAAACUGAGUCAGACGUGGUAUAUUCACUUGAGCUCUCCUAACUCGUGUGCACUUGGAUUCGACCCAAUAGAGGUUGAGUCUGAAUCCCAAACGUGCACCAAGGAAGGUCGACCAUUGCGUACUCUUGGUUUGAUUCAAUCCCACUUACUUGCCAAGAUGAAUGGAAAAAUCUUGAGAGGACAAUAAAUUAAAGUGAACCCAAUGUCUCCCACUGACUCUUUAUUUCAAUUUAGGUCCUAAUCAGGUCCAACCACUUCACCAAGGUCUAAGCUAGACCCUAAUAUGAGCAGAAGGUCUCCCUGAGGACUCUUGAGCUCAACAUAGGUCUCCUCUCCUGACCAUACUUGCGUACACCCAAGGAAGUCUCUACCUCUAGGCUCCAGUUCCCAUUCACCCUUACUAGGUGCAUUUGAGUUCGAAGUAGACUAUAAGGUGAACUAAAGGUCUCCCCGAGGACUCUUUAAUUUAUCUUAGGUGUCACCCCGAACCCAUGAUUGGUCCAACAAGGUUUAUCUAAACCUUUGGUCCUUAGGUCAAACCGUCACCAAGUCAAUUUGGUGAAAUUUCUCUUAAUUACGUCUAUUACAUUUUCACCCUUGCCCCUUUUUAAUUAAAUAUGCAAGUAUUACCUUAGUGAUCCAACCCUAUGCAAAAUACACUUUGGUUUAAAACUAAACAAUUUAUUAAUUAAUUUUAAAUAUAUAAAACUUAAAGGACAUAUAUAAAAUACCCCUUUAUUUACCUAUACAUGAUUUACAUACUUUAAUUAAAUAAAACCCUGUGAACACAUGUAAAAUACCCAUUUAAUUAGCCCAACUCGAUUUCAAUAUUUUAACAAGAAAAAUCUUAAAUCUUACGAAAUAUAUAAAAUAGAUUUCGUUGAACUAACAUAUAUAUAAAAAAACAAAAUCGAAUUCAAAUGGAUAAAUCUUUAUAAAUAGAUGAAACUUGAUAAAACUUUAAUCGAUUUCAUCUUAAACAUAUAUAAAUAUCCCAACAAUACUAUCAAAAAAUAUAUCUACAUUCAAAAAUCAUCUUCAAACCUCAAAGUUAAAUUCAUUUCCAUCAUUCACAACACCUAAAUUAUUUAUUCGCAAAUAUGUUAUUCGUUUUGAUCUUAUUUAACGAGUAAGAAUAUACUUAUCCAAAUUGAUUUUAUUAUAGACGUAUUCAUAUUUUGUUUUUAAUCAAUACCCAUUCACAUUUUCAAACUUACGUGAAACUCAUAUAUAAACCCUAGUAUGAAAUAGCAUUUUACUUCUAGAUUUGAGGAUCGUAAUUCAAAGGUGAGAAGAAAUCUGUACCUUAUUUUUUGAUUUCUCCUUUCUUCUAGAUCCUCAAGAGCCUAGUUUAACCUUCAACAUGCACCGAAGUUGAUUUAUUCUCCCUCCUCCUUUAAUAUUGUUUCCUAAGGAUGUCCCAUCCGUCAGUGAUUUUACCUUUUUGUCCUUAGAUUUUAAAAGUCACCUAAGGUAAAUGAGGAAUUAUUUCCUUUAAUUGUAACUUCCUUUUUUUGAAUUCAUUCCUAGUUUAAUUAUCUUUUAAUUUGCAACUCAAUUGCAAGUUUUAAUUAAAAUUAUUUCAAAAACUUCCUUUUUACUUAAGUAGGGCUAACUAAUCAAGAUAUAUAUUUGCCUCCACCUCUUUUCAUUCCAAACCCUAGUCGACUAGUGUGGUAGGCUCUUAUCAACUAGCCCAUUAGUUGGGUUUAGUCCACCUAAUUUAAUCAAACUGCCAAGUUAAAUAUAAUUGAUCCAACUUUAUAGUUAUAAAUGAUUCAAUAAAAAAUAUAAUAAUAAGCAUGUAAUUAUUUUGAGAUCAAGUAAUUGACUAGAUAAAAGUCAUUGGAGAGAUUUUGAGAUCGAAUAUUCUUAUUAAACUUUUUAUUUAGAUAAUUAUUUUUACCUUCUAAUACUUAGUUAAAUAAUUAUUUUUACUCCCUUAGUUAAUUAACCUCUUUCUUUAGAUAAAUUAUAUAAAAUUCCUAAAUGAUUAAUCAUAUUAAACCCUUUAGGUUAAUGUGAUUAAAUUUACCCUAACUAUAUAUCAUCUGAGUGGAUAUGUUAUUUGCAUUUAUAUCCAUCCGUGUGUGAUUACAUCACUUAGUAUGUAAAGUAUAUAUACUAACAUUUAAUAAAUUUUAUGCUACUUCCCUUUUCCUAAUAGAAAAUCAGUCAUCAUGAUUCAUAUAAACAAGUAAACUCCAUUUUUAGUACAUAAAGCCAUCAUCAUUCAUAAAACCCAUACGUAUUAAUCAAAAACAAACCAUUUAAUUCAAUCAUUUAUAGUCAUCAUGGGUAUCAUGCAAUCAAUUACUAACUUCAAUAACUCUGAAGACAGUAAAGCUUCAAUAAAUUAGUCGAACAUCCCUACUGACCAUAUUAUACUUAUCAUUAGCUUCUACAAGGUUGUAUCAUACAUAGAAAUAUUCAUGAAUUAUUAUUAUACUUAUUAAGAGUAAUUACUUGAUCAAUUUAAGCUAAGCCAUGUACUUAGCAUUUAGAAAUUAGAAUUAGAUAACAAGGCCCAAUCUUGAUGUUGGCCCAUUUAAGUUAGGGUUAAGUUUAGUUAGUAUAAAUAGAUUGUUGUAAUAGUUUAUUAUUAUCCUUUUUUGAAAUACAACACUAAAACCCUUGGGUUUCUCUCCCGACCGUCUCUCCCUCUCGACUCGCGACUCUCCAUCCAAAACCCUAGUGAUCAUCCGACUCACACUCCGACUCCACGAUCGCCGACUUUGUGAUGGUAUCAGAGCCUCUCGGAGUGCUGCGCUGCUCUAACCGUCAACACUGUCUCUAGUGAAGUUCAAAGGGAAACUCGCGAUUCAAAGAAGGAGAACCGACUCUAUCCGGCAUCCGUCUACACCUUUCUAAACAAAGGCUGGUAUAUCUAAGACCUUGCUUGUGAUAGAAUAAAAUCAUAUGUGUUAUGUAUAUUAUGCAUGCUGAAACCCUUAAAUCUAAGAAACCAUCUGUUGCAUGUCUAUGUAUGACACUCUAUCUAUCAUUGUUAGUCUCAACACCAUAUCAAAAUGCUAUAACUACUGAUCUAUACAUAUCAUGUGCUUUGUCUGUUAUUCCCAUGUUGCUGUUGGUUACAUGCCUCAUUAGAUCUAUGUGCAUAUCACCUCUCUAUUUAAAAUCAUCUACUGAUGGUAAAACUAACGAUGUUUAUGAUUCUUUCAUGAAUGUAUCCAUGUAUAGGUAUGGUCUGAGAUCUAUCUCAGACCACACCAUAUUAAACAAGUUGGACAUUCUGUGUCCAUGGCUGCGAAUGGAUAGAUCACCCUGUUUAACUGUAAUCUACCCACACAAUGAACAGAGUAAGACUUUUCUCAUAAUUUAUUCAUGUUCUAUUAGCUAUCUUAAAACAUUAAUUAAGAUAAAUGUUUUUAUCAUGUUCCUUCCGCUGCUAACCAACUAUUCAAAUAAGAUUAGACACUGUCUACAACCGAAACCAAUCAAAGAUGGGUUGAGAACCAUCAUCAAAGUCAUGUACUCUGGCUUCUUCAAAUCAAUCUAUUUAUUAAGUCAAAAUUUUAAUAUACAUUUUUUAAUUCAUUCAUCUCAUUUAAAAUGUAUUUACACUAUACUGAUACAAUUUUAUUACUAUGAAACAUAUUACAGAGUAAUCAUCAUGUCUGAUAGUGAGAAUACUCAAACUGUCCAGAUUGUGAAAAAGAAACCACUGGGUGGUCCACUGUUCGAUCCUACAUCCAUAUACUUCUUUAAGCCUACUGACUAUGGCCCUCCAUCUAUCAUAAAUGUCCUACAGGGUAGCCAAAACUACUAUCCAUGGAAUACGGAAAUGACAACUAUACUCAUAACUAGAAGGAAAUUGGGUUUUGUUAAUGGAUCCAUCAAGGAACCAUCCCAAAAUGAUGAAGAGGAGCAUGAAGCUUGGAUUACCUGUCAUGGGAUAAUCCGUCAGUGGAUAUGGAGCUCUGUCUCUCAGGAGAUAGCCUCCCAAAUAAUGUACACGGAUGAUGCUGCAAUCAUUUGGGCUGAUCACAGAGAUCAGUUCAAACAAUCAAAUGAAACACAUUUGUUCCAACUGACCCAAGACAUUGCCCUACUCCAACAAGGAUCAAACACUGUAUCUAAAUUUAGUGCCAUGCUUAAGACACUGUGGAGGGAAGUAGAUGCUUAUGGAGAGGUCCCUAGAUGUAGUUGUGUUACUUGCACAUGUAAUGUCAAUGGAAGGAUAAAUGAAAGGGAAGAAAGGUUGAAAAUCAGAAAAUUCUUAAUGGGUCUGAAUGAUAACUUCAGACAGAUUAGAUCCACCAUCCUCUCAAUGGACAAACUCCCAAACUUUGGGAAGGUAUUUUCAAUGGUCAUACAUGAAGAAGACCAACAAAAAUUAACCAGCAAUUCAAACCCAAAUCAGGACUCUGCAUUCUACUCUGCAAAAGGGAAGGCACCCUUCCAAACAACAGUUAGACCUACAGAUACCCCAUCCUCAUCCAAUCCAAAUCUAAGGAAAAGGCCCCCUACUCCUACUGAGCCAAUAUACUACAAAAGUGGUAAACAAGUCAACACAAGAUAUUACUGCUUCCACUGUGCUGUGUUUGGGCACAGUGAUGAAAAGUGUUUCAAUCAACAUGGAUAUCCUUCUAGAAACACUAGGGCCAAUCCUAUAACUCCAACACCAUCUGUGGUCAACAAAGCACAAGGCUCAGCUAAUUGUGUGAACACUGAGCAGACCUGGACCCCAUGGGACAAUGAUGACAAAAAGACUGAAUCCUCUGAGAAUCCCAUUGGACCAUAUGGCUUUCCACUCUAUUCUGAGAAAUAUAAUCCAAGGCCACUGCCCAAGUACAAGGAUCCAGGUAAAGCAAAUUCUAUUUUUAAUAAACACUCAAAUAUUUAUUGGAUCAUUGACUCGGGUGCCUCUGAGCACCUGAGUGGAAAUGAAUCAUUAUUCCAAAAACUCACAAAGUGUGAUCCCUUCAAGAUCUCACUACCUAAUGGGGACAGUCAAACAGUCUCCUUAAAGGGUGACAUCUCUGUCUCAUCCAACAUCACACUAAAGGAUGUAUAUUUUAAUCCAUCCUUUCAAGUGAACUUGCUAUCCAUUAGCAAGUUAACUCAAUAUGACACCUACUCAGUUCAAUUUUCUAAAUCAUGUGCAUUCAUAUAUGACAAGGUUCAGAUGAAGGAAGUUGGUCAGAGUAGGAUGGAAAAGGGGUUGUAUCUGUUACCACAUACCAAUGAAGAUGAUUCUUUUGCAGGUGCCAUCACAACAUCGACAUGGCACAGAAGGCUUGGUCACACCUCAAGUGACAGACUGAAACACAUUUUAAACAAUUUAUCAUUUAAUUUUUCAAAUUCUACUUUUACUUUUGAUAAACAUUGUGAUAUUUGCCAUUUUGCCAAACAGCCUAGGAAGUCAUUUCCACUUCAUACAUCUAGAACUAAACAUGCAUUUGACUUACUUCACAUUGAUGUGUGGGGGAACUUUCACACUCCAACAAUCCAUGGGAAUUAAAGGUAUUUUUUAACUGUGGUUGAUGAUUACACUAGGUACACAUGGACUUAUCUUAUAUCUAUGAAGUCUGAAUGUUUUGAUAUUUUUAAGAAUUUAUAUGCUAUCAUUGAUAAUCAAUUUGACACCUCUGUCAAAUCAAUUAGAACUGACAAUGGUGGAGACUUUUUCUCUUCAGCCAUGGAUGAUUUCCUAAAGACAAAGGGAAUCAUUCACUCCAGCUGCCCCCACACACCACAACAGAAUGGUGUGGUUGAAAGGAAACAUCAACACUUAUUAAAUGUAGCUAGGGAAUUGAAAUUUCAAUGCUCCCUCCCAACUGAGUUAUGGGGAUAUGCAAUUCUCCAAGCCACUUAUAUCAUCAACUUGUUACCAUCCAAGGUAACACAAAACCUGUCCCCAUAUGAACUCAUGCAUUCCAAACAACCCAACUAUGAAGGACUCAGAACCUUUGGUUGUUUGUGUUAUGCAACAUGUCUUGUAAAAGAAGAUAAAUUCUCCCCUAGAGCUAAGAAAUGCAUAUAUCUAGGUCAUCCCCCAACUCAAAAGGGAUCCAUCAUUUAUGAACUAGAUAGCCAACACAUCUCUAUAAGUAGAGAUGUUAUAUUUUAUGAGAAUGAAUUCCCACUAAACAAAAACAACUCAAAAGAAACCAAAAGUCAUACAACAACUGAGAGAUUCAAUGACAUACUACUAAAUGACUCUGAUCUUUCAGAAAUAUACCAAAUAUCUCAAACUGACUCACACUCUCAAAUUCCAACAGAUUCAAACUCUGAGCCAUCAGAGUCAAUUCAAACAAAUCCAAACUCUGAAAUUCAAAACCAAAUAACAUCAAACUCUGAGUCAUCAGAGACAAUCCAAGAACAACACAUAAAUAUUGACACUAUUCCAAACAUCCAACAAAACUCAAGGUACCCAAAAAGACAAACAAAACCUCCCAUAAAGCUAAAUGACUAUUUCUGUUCAUUUGCAACAAGCUGUGGAAAAUCAAAAGGCAUCUCAUACCCAAUGCAUGAUUAUCUAACAUACAAGAGGUUGUCCACUGCUCACACUGAUUAUCUAGACAAAAUUUCCACAACUUCAGAACCAACAUCUUUCAAACAGGCUAGCCAAAGCCCUGAAUGGGUAAAGGCUAUGAAUGAUGAACUUGCAGCUCUAGAGCUCAAUGAUACAUGGGAAAUAGUGACAAAACCAAAAGGAUGGAAAAUUGUUGGGUCUAGAUGGGUUUUCAAAGUAAAACACAAAUCCAAUGGUGACUUUGAGAGACUAAAAGCAAGAUUAGUUGCAAAAGGUCAUACUCAUGUGGAAGGUUUUGACUACAAAGAAACCUUCUCCCCUGUUGCAAAGAUCAUAUCUGUCAGGACCCUAUUAGCAGUUGCAUCAAUCAAAAACUGGACCAAAUACCAAAUGGAUGUGAGCAAUGCUUUCUUACAUGGUGACCUAUCUGAGGAAAUAUACAUGUCUCCACCUCCAGGAAUGUUGCCACCUGAUGAUACCAGAGUCUGCAGACUAAAAAAUCCUUAUAUGGUCUGAAGCAAGCAAACAGAAAUUGGUAUGAGAAACUAACUUCUGCCUUAACCAAAUUUGGAUAUACACAAUCCCACUCUGAUUACACAUUAUUCUUUAAAUCAUCUACAAAUCCAUACACUUGCCAACUUAUUUAUGUAGAUAAUCUAAUCAUAUCAGGUGACAAUGAAGCUGAGAUCCAAAAGUUGAAAGAAUAUCUACAUCUUCAAUUCCAUAUAAAAGAUUUGGGCAAACUCAAAUACUUUCUAGGAAUUGAGGUAUCUCAAUCAAACCAGGGUAUUUUCCUAUCACAAAGGAAAUAUGCCCUUGAUAUUCUGCAUGACUUUGGGCAAUUGGGAUCUUCCCCAUCUAAAAUCUCAAUCUUGAUGUUGACCCAUUUAAGUUAGGGUUAAGUUUAGUUAGUAUAAAUAGAUUGUUGUAAUAGUUUAUUAUUAUCUUUUUUUGAAAUACAACACUAAAACCCUUGGGUUUCUCUCCCAACCGUCUCUCCCUCUCGACUCGCGACUCUCCAUCCAAAACCCUAGUGAUCCUCCGGCUCACACUCCGACUCCACGAUCGCCAACUUUGUGAAUACUAAUACCCUGUUCAGAUCCUAUCCACAUGGCAUCACGAAUAUACAUGUACUCCGGAUCCUAUCCACAUGGCAUCAUUUCAAAUCAGAACAAAAAAACAACAAUAGCAACAGGCAACACAUGCCAAUCAUAUUAUAUGCUAAUAUCUCACCAACAAUGUAAUAUUUUAUUAUAAAAAUUACACUAAACUACCAAUCCAUCAUCACCCCAAUAUUUUAAUCUCAAAUAAAGAAAACAAUAAUGGAAACAUACAACACAUGAUAAACAUUCUAUAUGCUAGCAUCCCACAAACGAUAUAAUAUUAUAUUAUAAUAUUAAACUAAACUACCAACUCAUCGUAAACUACAAAUAACCAAAUUAGUAAACAACAGCCAUCUCACUUCAUUCAUCAUCUAUGGGCGGGCGAGUUCAUCUAGAUCGGAUCCAUUGCGAUCUCCCUUUCACACAUCAUAUAUCUUUACCUUCCCAUCACCCAUAACACAUUUUCUUGAUUAAAAAUCUAACAUAAACACUCGACAUACCUGAUCCUCCGUUGUCAAUCGAGCCACACACCUUCCACACCACGUUACCGGUGCUCCCCUACAGAUCUUCACCACAAGGCCCAACCUAGAAAUUUUUUGCCCUAGCCGUUCUCCUCUUUCUCUUCCUUUCCUCCUUUUCUUU
rnacentral:lncRNA from 1 species